UACGGAGGGUGCAAGCGUUGUUCGGAAUUAUUGGGCGUAAAGGGCGCGUAGGCGGUGCGGUAAGUCUGUAGUGAAAUCUCUGGGCUCAACUCAGAGUCUGCUAUAGAAACUGCCGUGCUCGAGUGUGGGAGAGGGAAGCGGAAUUCCCGGUGUAGUGGUGAAAUGCGUAGAUAUCGGGAGGAACACCAGUGGCGAAGGCGGCUUCCUGGCCUGUUCUUGACGCUGAGGCGCGAAAGCUAGGGGAGCAAACGGG
rnacentral:rRNA from 1 species